CCUACGGGAGGCAGCAGUGAGGAAUAUUGGUCAAUGGGCGAGAGCCUGAACCAGCCAAGUCGCGUGAGGGAGUACUGCCCUAUGGGUUGUAAACCUCUUUUGUCGGGGAGCAAAAGCCGGACGUGUCCGGCUGUGAGAGUACCCGAAGAAAAAGCAUCGGCUAACUCCGUGCCAGCAGCCGCGGUAAUACGGAGGAUGCGAGCGUUAUCCGGAUUUAUUGGGUUUAAAGGGUGCGCAGGCGGAUUUUUAAGUCAGCGGUAAAAUCGUGGGGCUCAACCCCAUCCAGCCGUUGAAACUGGGGAUCUAGAGUGUGCGAGAGGUAUGCGGAAUGCGUGGUGUAGCAGUGAAAUGCAUAGAUAUCACGCAGAACCCUGAUUGCGAAGGCAGCAUACCGGUGCACAACUGACGCUCAGGCACGAAGGCGUGGGUAUCGAACAGGAUUAGAUACCCCAGUAGUC
rnacentral:rRNA from 1 species